rnacentral:lncRNA from 1 species
UAUCAAUCCGCGUGUGAAAAAACACUGUCCACUCACUCCAGCCGCAUUACUCAAUCAACAACGUCUUGCUACGCGUAAAAAUAUAGUUCUGUUAACAAAACUUGAAAGAUCACAUUAUUGCAGUUAUAUUUCUGUCUGAGUUAUACAGCGUACACUAUCUACCAUUGAUAAAAGAAGACAAUUUCCAAAAAAGGUUCAACAGGCUUUUUAAUCAAGGCUUGUUUUGACAAGACCUCUCAUUGACAAGACAAUAGCCGUCGUGCAUCACCAUGGACAUGAAUUUUUACAUUGAGAAGAGGAAACACGGAAAACCUGUCAAUUUUUUCAUGUGUCAUUCGGUAAAAAUGCAAAAACCUGUAUCAACAACAUAGAAGGAAUUUACAGAAGUCAUGUUUGAUUGAGAAAAGUUACGACAAGUAGGUAAACUUUGAAAAAUACGAUUGCUGUCAGUGUCGGAAAGAAUGACCCGACUUGACCCAGAUAUGAGACAGCCGAAACCAGGAAUGACAAGAGAACCGGCGUUACAGUUUAAUCCGGACAACAAGUUUAAUGAACAUCGUUUGUGAUUUGAGACAAGUGUGACUGAUGGGAAACAUGUGCAUGUGGGAUUUUAGGAGGACUUGUCUGAGUCAAACGCGCUUGUGGAGUGGACACAGUCAGAUAACGGGAGUUUGUUGAUAUUUUGAUGUGAUUCAUAAUAUGGUCGAAUACCUGUUGAUAGACUAACACGUACGGUAUCUGGAGACUUGGUGACAAGCUGUCCGCAUUCACGGAGUUCAUUUAGUUCAAUGUCGGACACAGGAUCACCUCGCUGGGUUAUCGAUGUCAUCAUCGUUCACAAAGGCAAACCUGUCUAUACAAAGUCCGGUUUUGGGGAUUCGUGUGGUCGAAAUAUUCGCCAAACAGCAAGUCCUCUAACACAGACGCAAAUCCGGACUUGGUGGUGUUGAGUUUUAGCGCACUAGAAACAGUUUCUGGCAACAUCACAAUCUGAAACUUGGAACUUCAAUCUGGCCAUAUGCAGUUUUGACAACAAAGACAUGAAAUGUGUUCAGAGGUUGAAUUAUGCGAAUAACUCUUCCUGUCAGAUCUCCGUCUACUUUAACGAGGUCAUUUAGUUUGACAGGUGUCAAAUGGUCAGCCAUGUUCGUUUACAAACAAUGCAGACGUAGUUUUGUUUUUUGUAAUUACGCUUAUUGUAAACUAAAACUCGUGCGAAAUAAAUGCUUUAUUCAUUA